AAAUGAGGCGGCACAGGGCUUUGCAGCCUGGCAGUGGCACUGCUGGGCAGCUCCAGCUCACAGGUGAUGCACUCAGGUGCUGCCACAUUCACCUGGACCCUGCCAGCCAGGCAGGAGGUCCAUGAACAGCAACAAGACCUCACUAAAUCACCGUGUCUAAAACUGCACAUUCAAGCACCUGGGGGAGGACAUCUGCUCACCUGAAGAUUUUCCUAUGGAGCUGACAAUGCUCUUCAACUCCUCCCUGGCAUGCUCAAGGUUGCAUCCCAAGCAUCCAGACUCUGCCUGUGAGAUUUGGUGCAAAAGCUUCAGAAGCAGAGACCCAGGAGCAGUGUCGGGUUGGCUUCGGGGAAUGCAAUUCUCAUUCCUUUGAAAAUUCUCGUUCUGCAGGUUGGGAGUUUUGUUCAGCAUUUCCCUUCCCAGUUGGCAUCGUGGGGCUGAACUUUCUCAAGGUGUUGAGUGUGUGGAAAGAAGAAAAAAGAAAGGCAGAUUUCAUCUAGCUUGGAUUUACCCGGGGAGUGAUUUUCUUCCAGAGAUCCUAAUCUGAAACCGCUUCUUCCAGCUCCCUCCCGUAGUAGUUUACAACUCCUGACGUAUGUACACAGGGAUGGAUUGUGAAUCUGGGAGCACCAAUGGGGCUGGCCAUGGGCUCAGGGAAGGGAUGGACUGGCAUUUUGGCUCAUGAGAUUAAGAAUCAGGUUUAUUCCAGCUGUGUCUAUGCCUCAGCCCUGUGGCGAAAACCACAGCAUUUAUAUAAAAACCAUUUAGGCAGAAUUUACUCAUCUAUCACCAAUUUUGCCAGGGCAGAGAAGUUUAGCUGAGCUUCUGGACAUCUCCCAGAGGUGGUUCUGUUGAGAUUAACCUUAAAACUCUCCACCACAGCCCUCUGUAAAGGUAGGAGAGGCACAUCCUUUGGAGGGAGCACCUACAGAGGAGACUUUCAAACUGCUUUGGGAAACAUAACUCUGAGCCCCAAGUUUCAAUGGAAAUGCACUGAAGAAAACCUCAAAAAGCAAACUACAAGCUCCUCUCCCAGAUUUCCUUUUCCUUUCAUGGCACAAAUUAGAGAAUACCAACUUAGUGGAACUGCAAGCAUCUAAGAAUAGCUUUGAUUUUCCUAAACAUUUACAAUUCUGUUUUAUGUACAUCGUCAGAAAAGGAGCAAGGAAAUACAAAAUGUAAAUCUUUAAAUGAACCUGAAUACCAAGGAGACUUUACAUAUCUGCUUGGAACAAAUGGGAUGUUGCAGCUAAAUCUCAAACAGGGGAAUCAGAGAGUUUCAAUAGCCGUGGAUGUGUGGAGCAUAAUCAGACAUGGGAUGCCUCGUGUAGGGUCCCUCCCUCCCUGGCAGGUUAAGAAAGCUGUUGUAACUUGCUAUAAAUUUUGCUGCCUGUUUGGUUUCAUGGCUCCCAGGGCCAGAAUUCCCAUCUCCAUUUCAGAGAGCAGCAACUGCUUGCUAAGCUGGAUGUCAAAACCCUCCCUGGAAAGGGGCUGGGGGGAUGAUCCAUGGAUACUGUCCCCAUUAAGUGGGUUCUGUGCAAGGUCUAAUGGACCCAGAAGCUGUGGGCCUGAAAACACCUCCAGACAUGGAAGAUUUGCAGGAAUUCUGGAGAGCCUGUUGGGUACCUUUGAUAAAAAGUCACAUUUACAACAGGGAUAUUGUUCUUGGUUGUACUGCAGUGCUGAGAGAAAAGUUGAAUUUGGGAGGAGGUAUUAGCCCUUUCCUC